rnacentral:tRNA from 1 species
GGUGCGAUAGCUCAGUCGGUAGAGCAAAGGACUGAAAAUCCUUGUGUCGCUGGUUCGAUCCCAGCUCGCACCA